CUCUGUGACUCCUACGGGGAGGCAGCAGUGGGGAAUAUUGCACAAUGGGGGAAACCCUGAUGCAGCCAUGCCGCGUGUGUGAAGAAGGCCUUCGGGUUGUAAAGCACUUUCAGUAGGGAGGAAGGUAGUGUAGUUAACACCUGCAUUAUUUGACGUUACCUACAGAAGAAGCACCGGCUAACUCCGUGCCAGCAGCCGCGGUAAUACGGAGGGUGCGAGCGUUAAUCGGAAUUACUGGGCGUAAAGCGCAUGCAGGCGGCCUGUUAAGUCAGAUGUGAAAGCCCGGGGCUUAACCUCGGAAUUGCAUUUGAAACUGGCAGGCUAGAGUCUUGUAGAGGGGGGUAGGAAUUUCAGGUGUAGCGGUGAAAUGCGUAGAGAUCUGAAGGAAUACCAGUGGCGAAGGCGGCCCCCUGGACAAAGACUGACGCUCAGAUGCGAAAGCGUGGGGAGCAAACAGGAUUAGAUACCCUGGGAG
rnacentral:rRNA from 1 species